rnacentral:rRNA from 1 species
GAUAAACGCUGGCGGCGCACAUAAGACAUGCAAGUCGAACGGACCAAAACCUUAGUUUACUAUGGUAGAGGUUAGUGGCGGACUGGUGAGUAACACGUAAGCAACCUGCCUAUCAGAGGGGAACAACAGUUAGAAAUGACUGCUAAUACCGCAUAUGCCUUAGUAUCGCAUGAUACAAAAGGGAAGGAGUAAUCCGCUGAUAGAUGGGCUUGCGUCUGAUUAGAUAGUUGGUGGGGUAACGGCCUACCAAGUCUACGAUCAGUAGCCGGACUGAGAGGUUGAACGGCCACAUUGGGACUGAGAUACGGCCCAGACUCCUACGGGAGGCAGCAGUCGGGAAUAUUGCGCAAUGGAGGAAACUCUGACGCAGUGACGCCGCGUGCAGGAAGAAGGUUUUCGGAUUGUAAACUGCUUUAGACAGGGAAGAUACAAGACAGUACCUGUAGAAUAAGCUCCGGCUAACUACGUGCCAGCAGCCGC